GUGCUCGCUUUGGCAGCACAUAUACUAAAAUUAGAACAAUACAGAGAAGAUUACCGUGGCCCCUGCACGAGACUUACAUGGAGGUAUUCUCGCCACCAACAGUUACU